rnacentral:rRNA from 1 species
UGCGGGGGGGGCAAGCGUUGUUCGGAAUUACUGGGCGUAAAGGGCUCGUAGGCGGCCAACUAAGUCGGAUGUGAAAUCCCCAGGCUUAACCUGGGAACUGCAUCCGAUACUGGAUGGCUUGAAUCCGGGAGAGGGAUGCAGAAUUCCAGGUGUAGCGGUGAAAUGCGUAGAUAUCUGGAGGAACACCGGUGGCGAAGGCGGGUCUCUGGGCAUCUCCUGACGCUGAGGCGCGAAAGCGUGGGGAGCAAACGGG